rnacentral:rRNA from 1 species
AGAGCGAACGCUGGCGGCAGGCCUAACACAUGCAAGUCGAGCGCCCGUAGCAAUACGGGAGCGGCAGACGGGAUAGUAACACGUGGGAACGCGCCCUUCGGUUCGGAAUAACUCAGGGAAACUUGAGCUAAUACCGGAUACGCCCUUACGGGGAAAGAUUUAUUGCCGAAGGAGCGGCCCGCGUCCGAUUAGCUAGUUGGUGAGGUAAUGGCUCACCAAGGCGACGAUCGGUAGCUGGUCUGAGAGGAUGACCAGCAUCACUGGGACUGAGACACGGCCCAGACUCCUACGGGAGGCAGCAGUGGGGAAUAUUGGACAAUGGGCGCAAGCCUGAUCCAGCCAUGCCGCGUGGAUGAUGAAGGCCUUAGGGUUGUAAAGUCCUUUUAACGGGAAGAUAAUGACGGUACCCGUAGAAUAAGCCCGGCUAACUUCGCGCCAGCAGCCGC